rnacentral:rRNA from 1 species
UUGGUUAAGUCAGGCAACGAGCGAGACCCGGGCCAACAGUUACCAGCGGGCCCCAUUGGGGCGCCGGGAACACUGUUGGGACUGCCACAGAGGAAUGUGGAUGAAGGACCGGGCCACGGCAGGUCAGUAUGCCCCGAUAGUCCAGGGCUACACGCGGGCUACAAUGGUGCGGACAGUGGGUAACCAACCCCGAAAGGGGCCGGUAAUCUCUAAACCGCAUCGCAGUUGGGAUUGAGGGCUGCAACUCGCCCUCAUGAACUUGGAAUCCCUAGUAACGGCGCGUCAACAUCACGCCGUGAAUACGUCCCUGCUCCUUGCACA